rnacentral:sRNA from 1 species
GGGCCGUCUUCUUCCCCCCGAGCUGGGCGUGCGCGGCCGCAAUGAACUGGGAGCUGCUGCUGUGGCUGCUGGUGCUGUGCGCGCUGCUCCUGCUCUUGGUGCAGCUGCUGCGCUUCCUGAGGGCUGACGGCGACCUGACGCUACUAUGGGCCGAGUGGCAGGGACGACGCCCAGAAUGGGAGCUGACUGAUAUGGUGGUGUGGGUGACUGGAGCCUCAAGUGGAAUUGGUGAGGAGCUGGCUUACCAGUUGUCUAAACUAGGAGUUUCUCUUGUGCUGUCAGCCAGAAGAGUGCAUGAGCUGGAAAGGGUGAAAAGAAGAUGCCUAGAGAAUGGCAAUUUAAAAGAAAAAGAUAUACUUGUUUUGCCCCUUGACCUGACCGACACUGGUUCCCAUGAAGCGGCUACCAAAGCUGUUCUCCAGGAGUUUGGUAGAAUCGACAUUCUGGUCAACAAUGGUGGAAUGUCCCAGCGUUCUCUGUGCAUGGAUACCAGCUUGGAUGUCUACAGAAAGCUAAUAGAGCUUAACUACUUAGGGACGGUGUCCUUGACAAAAUGUGUGCUGCCUCACAUGAUCGAGAGGAAGCAAGGAAAGAUUGUUACUGUGAAUAGCAUCCUGGGUAUCAUAUCUGUACCUCUUUCCAUUGGAUACUGUGCUAGCAAGCAUGCUCUCCGGGUAAGGCUGCUCAAACUCAACUCUGAUAGAACUGACUUAAAUGUGUAUAUGGGGGAUAUGGCCAUCACUGUGUGAGGUCCUUGGAACUGGAAGUGAUGUGGGGAGACAGAGAGACCCAAGGAGACUUUUGGUAGAGGACACCCCCAGUAGAUGCUAAAAAAGACUUGAUCCACACAUGCCUCUAACUUGUUGAACAAAUAAAUAUGUAUCAAGCACUGCAUUGUGCCAUGUACUACAACAGACCCUGGGG